AAACGCUUGAAGUUAGUCACAUUGGCUUGAGAUCAACCUGGCUGUUGCUUGGUGUAUUCUCUAGUUAAUGGGUCAACAUCAGUUUUGAUCAUUGGAUAAGAGUUGAGGGAAUGUGGCUCCUUUAGGAGUGUUAUAGCCUUUAGCUGUAUACAGUGGUUGGGACUGAGGAUCUCAGCACGCCGAAAGGCCGGGUUUCGACUACGUUCGUGCUUAGGAUGUUGGCAUAAUAGCUUUAAGCGA
rnacentral:rRNA from 1 species